UGUCUUUUAUCGAUGGCGGUUAUGAUAUCGUUUAGUACCUUGAGCGUGGCUGAGGUGCACCCGUGGCCGGCUCGGAAAACUGAUCCUAGAUCAGCACUCCCACUCUGAAAUGAAUGACUAGUGGCCAAGAUCAGUGCUUAUCAUGAUGUUAUGCCUCUCACUGUUUCAUCUGUAGAAUCCAGGAAGCAGCCGCCCAUGUUUUUUGACCGCCAGGCAUCUUCCACUAGAGAGAGCUACCGCAUCAGUGCCUCAGUGCCCAGGAGUGUCGACACCACCAGCAGAAGGAGUGGCAGGAUUGGGUCCAUAGGCAGGAGAAAGCAUGCUUGGCACACCUACAAAGCCAGCUCCUCUGAUGAGGAAGACUCCUCUGAUGAGGAAGACACAGAGCAAGAAGCCAAGAACAGGUGUCUGCCGCUGAAUUUGCGCAAAGAGGACAUUUGGAGAAUCCAUAAGGACAGAAUGAAGAUGGGUGCGAGUCUUGCGGAUGUCGACCCCAUGGCGAUUGACCAGUCGGUGUGCUUUGACACUGUUGGCGGUCUGACAAGCCACAUUUCUGCUCUGAAAGAGAUGGUAGUCUUCCCUCUGCUCUAUCCAGAGGUGUUUGAGAAGUUCAGGAUCCAGCCCCCAAGGGGCUGCCUGUUCUAUGGUCCCCCUGGUACGGGGAAGACCCUGGUGGCCAGAGCGCUGGCCAACGAGUGCAGCCAGGGGGAGAGGAAGGUGGCCUUUUUCAUGAGGAAGGGGGCCGACUGCUUGAGCAAGUGGGUGGGAGAGUCGGAACGCCAGCUCAGGCUGCUCUUUGACCAGGCCUACCAGAUGCGGCCAGCCAUUAUCUUCUUUGACGAAAUCGAUGGGUUGGCUCCGGUUCGCUCCAGUCGUCAAGACCAGAUCCACAGUUCCAUCGUGUCCACCCUGCUGGCACUAAUGGAUGGCCUGGAUAGCCGAGGAGAGGUGGUGGUGAUCGGCGCCACCAACCGACUGGACUCCAUCGACCCCGCCCUCAGACGCCCUGGACGCUUCGACAGGGAGUUCCUCUUUGGCCUCCCUGAUCGCGAGUCCCGGAAAGAUAUCCUAAAGAUUCACACCAGACAGUGGAAUCCUACACCGUCCGAUCCUUUCCUGGAAGAGUUGGCUGAUAAAUGUGUCGGCUACUGCGGCGCCGACAUCAAGGCGGUGUGUGCCGAAGCGGCCCUGUGCGCGCUGCGCCGGCGCUACCCCCAGAUCUACGGCACGUCCCAGAAGCUCCUGCUGGACGUGGGCUCCAUCAACAUCAACAGCCGGGACUUUGUGGCCGCCAUGAGGAAGAUGGUGCCAGCCUCCCAGAGGGCUGUGUCGUCCCCUGCCAAGGCCCUGACCCCUGUAGUUACACCCCUGCUGGGCCCCGCCCUCACCAACGUGCUGGACGCAGUGCAGAAGCUCUUCCCCCACGCCGAACAGGGCCUCAAGAGGAAGAGGGAUGCAGAUCUGACAGACAGCAUUCUGGAGGAUGAAAUCAUGUACAGUGGGGACGAGGGCCCCUCGUCCAAUAAUUCCAUCACCAAACACACCACCACCAAAGGGAGCUUCCUCCAUUUUGCCAGGAGUGCGAUCUGCCACCCCACCACCUACCGGCCCAGGCUGCUGCUGGCUGGGCGUCCCGGGGCGGGUCAGAGCUCCCACCUGGCCCCCGCCGUGCUCCAUGCCCUGGAGAAGUUCCCCGUCUACACCCUGGACAUGGCUGUGCUGUUUGGAGUCAGCUGUACAUCACCCGAGGAGGCCUGUGCACAGGUGUUCUGCGAGGCCAAGCGGACCUCCCCCAGCAUAAUGUACAUCCCCCACAUCCAGCAGUGGUGGGACACGGUGGGCUCGGCCCUCAAGGCCACCUUCCUCAGCCUGCUGCAAGACAUCCCCUCCUUCUCCCCCAUCAUGCUGCUGGCCACCAGCAACGUGGCUCACCGCGACCUGGCUGAUGAGAUCCAGACUCUGUUCCGGAUGGAGUACGGAGAGGUGCACUCUAUCCAAAUUCCCACCCAGCAGGAGAGAAGGAAGUUCUUUGAGAAUCUCAUCCUUAGCCAGACUGCCAAGGCACCUGCGUCCAAGAAGAAAGCCUUGAUGCAUGCCAUGGAGGUGCUCCCCCUUGCCCCCCCUCCUCUCCCCAGGCAGAUGAGUGAGAGGGAGCGUCUGCGUCUGGAGGAGCAGGAGGAGGACACACUCAGGGAGCUGAGGCUGUUCCUGCGCAACGUCACCGAGCGCCUCUCCCAGGACAAACGCUUCAAGGCCUUCACUAAGCCUGUGGACAUCGAAGAGGUUCCUGACUAUAUUAAGGUGAUCAGGCAUCCCAUGGACCUCUCCACUGUACUGUCCAAGGUCGACCUCCACAAGUACGUGACCGUCAGGGAGUUUGUCAACGACGUGGACCUGAUAUGGAAGAACGCCCUGGAGUACAACCCUGACAGCGACCCAUCUGAUCGUCAGAUUCGUCACCGGGCUUGUGCCCUGAAGGACACGACCCACGCCAUCAUCCGCGAUGAACUAGACGAGGACUUUAACAGAACCUGUGAGCAGAUCAGAGAGUCGCGCAACAAGAGAGGGUGCACGUCCUCAAAGUUUGUCCCCUCCUACUACCAGACUUUGCCCAGAGAGGAAGGAUUUGCCGAAUCCAAGAGGCUAGGCGGUAACACUGGCAAAGACGCCAGCACCCCGUUCACUGCCAACACCCCACGGCCCGCACCCUCUCCUCUAGCCCGUAAAAAGAAACCACCCAAAACACGACGCGAAAGCAAAUGGCGCUUCGGCAUCAUAAAGAAGAAGAAAAAAGAAACCUACUUCUUCCUUUUCUUCGAACAAGGAGAUCACAAACUCAGGGGCGGAAGAAGCGGAUGUGAGUGAUGGCAUAGAGGAGGGCGAAGAGAAACAAGCUAAGGCUUUGGAGACUAUUCUAGAGAACGGCUGUGGAGACUCCCCUAUGGAGUGUACCUCAGAGAAGACCACUAAGCCUGCUGAGGAUGUGGAAGAGGCCUGUGUUGCAGAGCAGCCCACCACCACUCCCAUCCCCAAUGGAGACUGGCAACAGCGAGCUCCAGACCCCACAGACGACUCACACCAGCCAGGCCUCACACAGGUCCAAUCUGGGAUCCAAGCCAGUCCAGUGGUGGCAGUCAAUGGAGUCAACCGCCAGCCCUCCAGUGGAACAUGGCCCAAGUCCAGUCAACAACACCCCUACAAAGGAGGUAGAUCAGGGGGAGAAACAUACCACAAAGACCAAAGAGCCUGUAAGGUUGGAGGAUGACUGGGACAUAGGUCUGUAUUAGGGUCCCAGACCCGGGCAGCAAGCAAGCUACUUCUUCUGGCCUCAGGGAACAGCUCAUUCAGUUUCACUGACCUAUGGCCUCUUGGGCUCCAGCUGUUGCGGAGCUCUAACUCAACACAGCACAUCAGUUAAAGGGAUACAUCCAUCGCUGCACUGAUUUAAAUACUCUGUAAGAGUGAGUUCCUUUGGUUGUAAAUGUGUUCACCACAGCAUGAGGGCCAAUGAACACAUGCAAAAAGGUUGACUUUGUUGUAGAAAAUCAAACUACAUGAAUAGUGCAAAUGCUUGUAAUUGUGUCUUCUGUGCCUUAGUUCUAGAAUAGGAAACCAUGCCCCCCUACUUACUGCUUGAGAUCCAAUGUUACUGGGUAGAAACCUCAUUUGCAUGUUAUGAGAUAUGCAUAUCAACACCAAUAGCCCAUUGUGUUAGCAUUAGCCUGUUCAGCCAGCACUGAUUAAAGGGACUUGAGCUUAUCAGCUCCCCAUCACACCCUCCUGAUUGCUUCCUGUGUUUCCUUCCAACAGUGAGGCGUGUGACCCGUGCCACCAGGACUCUGGUGCAGCAGCAGCAGUUGAUCGACGUGGACAAGGCCCUGGAGAUCCUGACCCAGAAGACCCCUCAGCUGGUCGUGGACCACGACAAACUCAAGGAAUUGCUCAAAAGAGUUGUGUCCAAGACUGAGGGCUAUGAGGUGCAUCAGCUGGAGAAGCUGUAUGCUCUGUUGUGUCAGAGCAUCUACAGACACCGCCAGAACUUUGAUAAGACAGAGCUCUUACAGGAAAUGAAGAGAGAAAUCGACAACUUUUCCUAACUUCUUCACUUGAUGUUUUCCUAUUUUCCUAUAUUGUAAUAAAAUGAUGCAUUUCAAGAUUUUCAGUUUUUAUUUUAUUUUACCUAUUACAAUGAGCCUAAUCAUGCAUUACAUUGGUCAGAAAUGUGGUUACCAUAAUUUAUAGUAUUUCAGAGGCACAGACUUGAGUCAGAAUUGACUUGAGACGUGUAUAUUUUUCUUACUUGUGACUAACUCCAACACAGUGUGUAUUUUUACGUAUGCAUUUGAAAUAUGUCUGAAAUCACAGUCACACAGUAUGUGCGCAUAUGCACAGGUUCACUUCACGCUCUUACAGGGUGGGAGCCAUGGGACCAAAACAGUGGAGAAGGGAGUCGAUUUCUGCAACAACUAUGCGGUUUACUUUCUGCAUCUAUGUCAUAUCACUGAGUCUACCUUUUUAAUUGCAUAUUAUUAAAGUAUUUGUAUCUUU